UAACUUUUAUGAACAUUUAAAUGUCAUUAACUGUUUCCAAUAUGAAUCUGUACAAAUAUAUAUAAGUUGAAGCAUUCAUAAGCAACUCCUGUAAGCUAAGCGGGACCAUUUCAGGAUUUUUGUAAAUUUUUAGAAGCUCAUCCGACAACACAAGGCGCUGAAUGUUGAAAGACGAACACUCAAAAAAGAUGUGAUGUAGUGUUUGAACCUUUUGCAAUUGACAAUAAUCACAAUAUGCUGAGCUGACCAUUUUGAGACGAUGAAGAACCAAGGUACAGUAUUAACUUGGACAUCGAGAGUAUUAAACCAUGAACCCACAUUUUCAUUGUGCACACAAUUAUAUGAAUGUCUCCCCCACGCUUCACACAUGCGUUGCCUUAAGAGACUAACUACAUCUGUGUAAGUGCACUCAAGAUUGCAACAGCUUCAGCUGUAAAAU